rnacentral:misc_RNA from 1 species
AUAUCUCAACCCAGACAGGUUUCACAACCUGUUCUGUUGCUUGGAUGUUGAAGGCUUGCUGGCUUUUUCAAGUCAGCUCCUUUUAAAUUCAUUAGCAGAAAUCAUAAGCAAAACUGGCUUCAGUUUGAUAAAAUACUUUAUCUGUACUGCUGUCGCUAGUGAAAAGACCUAACAUAUUUCAGCUUCCAAUUGUCCCAUGUAGGACUGUCUUCUUGAAGGCAUAACCAAUUUGAC